AUUCCAUGUUGGAGACAUUUUCUUAACAAUUCCUUGUACCGUUCCUAUGUCUCAUACAAGAUUAUAGCGUCCAUUUGUCUGAAUGAUGAAAUAUCACUCCUCAACUU